rnacentral:lncRNA from 1 species
GUGGAUACUGCUAUAUGGCAGCAGUAGUACCGAAAGGGUUAAUAUGUUCAUUAAAGCCGCUAAGUUGUAUUCUAAGCCAGAAAAAUCAUGUUACAUAGACAGGAAAUUUAUAUCACUGUGAGGCAAAGAUUAAAAUUUAGAUAGUGCAACAGAAUUUUCUUUUGUCCUUCACCUGGCGAGACCUUUGUCAGUGACUGUCGGGGCUUUAGUUUUGACGUAUUAACGUCAAAUAUAUUAAUAUUUGUUUACUAUAUGUUAGGAACCAGUUAGUUUCUUAACUAAUAAAAUUCUAUUGCCCGUUCGUGCAGUCACAGCUAACAGUCGAAGAUGUAAGACAAACACAAAUCGUGUAAAGUUGGAUGACCCAAUGAAAGGAAAUACGAGAUGAUGAUAAUAAUUCAGUAAGCAAGAGAAAGGUUGAAACAUGAAUACUAGAGCAUGAUCGACUGUAGUAUUGAGAGCUUCUUCCAGUGUAUAAGAGCCUAAAUCAACGAAACCAUGCAGCUGCAUUGUUCGUUGAUUUAAUUUUAUAGCUUCGCUUAAAGCUACUUCAUCGAGCAGUAAAGUACCUAUGAAAUGGAGAAAAAUAAUAUCUAUCAAUACAUGUGUAAUUCGGAAUAUGACAUUGUAAGCAUUUAUGAAGCUAAUGAGAAGACUAAAAAGUGAUAAAUACAAUUAUCAAAGGAAAGAAUAGCAGUAGCAAAGGCUGGUAAGAUAGAAUGAACCAAAAAGCAGAUUAAUUACUGAAAAGUUAUCUUCAGUAGCUUGUUACUAUUAUUAGUAUUCUCAGCAAGUAUUUUAUUAUAAAGCAUUAGUGUUGUUUAGUUGUUAAUUUGCAAGUAUGUUUUGUAAUAAUAAUUAGUUCUACAAUUUGCUGUCACACGCAAACUACAAAUGAUAUUAGGUAUACCCCUUUUCUUGUUAACUUCCAUGCGAGAACCUUUCAAUUUAAGGGUUUCAAAGAGAACUUUGGAAAAACCAAAAGCGCUAUCUAAUUUCUGGAUGUAUUUCUGGAGGGUAUCUUUACAGGGUAAAGAUCGAACAAAUUGUUUAUUUCCAAGAAUGUACUCCAAAUAAUUCUUAUCUUAAGAAUAUAUUUGAUGAAUUUACUUUAAAGUCUACUGUGAUAAAUUAUACAAAAAUGAGAAGAAGAAUUAAAAGGAAAAUUUAUAAGAAUACUUUUGCUAACAUGAACGUCGUUAAAAUUUUUAUUUGGUUUUAAUUAGAUCUCAGAUAUAGAAGGUAUAUGUAAUUCAAGUGAAUCCAAUAUAUGAAAUAUAUUAUAAAUGAUAUCUCAAUACCAUAAAUUUGAUUAUGGAUGUCAAUAAGGAAAAACUUACCUAUAAACAUUCUACUCCUAUCAAAAUUAGUGAAGGAAAUAUUACAGAAAACACAACAAAUAGCUAUUUAUCAGAAGACACUAAUUGUACGGCUAAUUCGAGUGAAUUAUUUUCAGAUAAUGAGAAUGAGAAUAUAAAUGAAAAUGAUUUGAUAUGUUAUACACCUAAUGUUUCAGAAAAUGAGACUUCGUUUUUGAAUAUCUCUGAAACGUCUUUAUUAGAUACCAAUAAACU